UCUGCUUGUAGAAUUACUGAGAUAUUCCUUUUGCCUAUGUAAUUUUCCGGUACUGUUAUAUAUCUUAAGACUAAUUCCCAUGCAUUGAACCAAUUGAUCUCCGUAGCUCAGUCAAAGGGCACCAUUCGUGCCAAAAAUCACGAAACAUUGUUUAAUACACAAUGAUGAUGAUUUUGCGAUUGAGGAACAACAGCCAAGAAAGACAUCCAAAGUGUGAGUAAAUCAUAUGAACGAUCUCCAUUUAUUUAGUAUUACAAUUACAAAAUGUCACCUAUAUAUUUUACCAUGGAGAUUAGCUUAAGCCCUUCUAAAUAUAAAAGGGAGUGCAGGACCAUCUAAGGCCAAGAACCUGGUUCCAUUUUGAACUCAGAAUACUAGCAGACCCGCAUCUUGGACAAAAUGGAGACCAGGUGUUGAAGGUUGAAUUCUAAAAAGGCCAUGGCUGGUUCUAGCUUGUGGUAAGGAGUGGUCUGGUUCUUCACCGUACCAUUCGUUCUCUUCCAUUUUAUUCCACUGCGAUCCACUGAAGUUAAACCACCGGCAGUAUCAGUAGCGGCUGGUAGUACAUUUAUAGUAUUCUACAUCACUUCUAAGAGGUUGUCCAUCAGCAUCAAGAACAGCAGGGCUUUGAGCCAGAGUAGAAAUGGCCAUUAUUAGGAGCCAGAUGAAGCACAAACUUUGAAUCAACCUCAACAUGAUGUGAAGAAGGAUUUAUGAUGUGAUCAAACGAUGGAGACAAGAGAGAAGAUACUUGCAAAUUACUUAAGUUAGAUAGUUAGCUAAUCUGAUGUUAUGACAAUGUGAAUUGGGAUUUUGGAUUUGAUAUCCUCUUAUUGAUUCUUACUUAUACCUA